UACAGAGGGUGCAAGCGUUAAUCGGAAUUACUGGGCGUAAAGCGUGCGUAGGUGGUUUGUUAAGUCGGGUGUGAAAUCCUUGGGCUCACCUGAGAAUUGCAUCUGAAACUGGCGAGCUAGAGUGUGGUAGAGGGUAGUGGAACUCCCGGUGUAGCGGUGAAAUGCGUAGAUAUCGGGAAGAACACCAGUGGCGAAGGCGGCUACCUGGACCAACACGUGACACUGAGGCGCGAAAGCGUGGG
rnacentral:rRNA from 1 species